rnacentral:rRNA from 1 species
GAUGAACGCUGGCGGCGUGCCUAAUACAUGCAAGUCGAGCGAACAGACGAGGAGCUUGCUCCUCUGACGUUAGCGGCGGACGGGUGAGUAACACGUGGAUAACCUACCUAUAAGACUGGGAUAACUUCGGGAAACCGGAGCUAAUACCGGAUAAUAUAUUGAACCGCAUGGUUCAAUAGUGAAAGACGGUUUUGCUGUCACUUAUAGAUGGAUCCGCGCCGCAUUAGCUAGUUGGUAAGGUAACGGCUUACCAAGGCAACGAUGCGUAGCCGACCUGAGAGGUGGAUCGGCCACACUGGAACUGAGACACGGUCCAGACUCCUACGGGAGGCAGCAGUAGGGAAUCUGCCGCAAUGGGCGAAAGCCUGACGGAGCAACGCCGCGUGAGUGAUGAAGGUCUUCGGAUCGUAAAACGCUGUUAUUAGGGAAGAACAAAUGUGUAAGUAACCAUGCACGUCUUGACGGUACCUAAGCAGAAAGCCACGGCUAACUACGU